rnacentral:rRNA from 1 species
UACGUAGGGGGCUAGCGUUGUCCGGAAUCAUUGGGCGUAAAGCGCGUGUAGGCGGUCCGGUAAGUCCGCUGUGAAAGUCGGGGGCUCAACCCUCGAAUGCCGGUGGAUACUGUCGGGCUAGAGUACGGAAGAGGCGAGUGGAAUUCCUGGUGUAGCGGUGAAAUGCGCAGAUAUCAGGAGGAACACCAAUUGCGAAGGCAGCUCGCUGGGACGUACUGACGCUGAGACGCGAAAGCGUGGGGAGCAAACAGG